GAUGAACGCUGGCGGCGUGCCUAAUACAUGCAAGUCGAGCGAACAGAUGAGGAGCUUGCUCCUCUGAUGUUAGCGGCGGACGGGUGAGUAACACGUGGAUAACCUACCUAUAAGACUGGGAUAACUUCGGGAAACCGGAGCUAAUACCGGAUAAUAUAUUGAACCGCAUGGUUCAAUAGUGAAAGACGGUUUUGCUGUCACUUAUAGAUGGAUCCGCGCCGCAUUAGCUAGUUGGUAAGGUAACGGCUUACCAAGGCAACGAUGCGUAGCCGACCUGAGAGGGUGAUCGGCCACACUGGAACUGAGACACGGUCCAGACUCCUACGGGAGGCAGCAGUAGGGAAUCUUCCGCAAUGGGCGAAAGCCUGACGGAGCAACGCCGCGUGAGUGAUGAAGGUCUUCGGAUCGUAAAACUCUGUUAUUAGGGAAGAACAAAUGUGUAAGUAACUGUGCACGUCUUGACGGUACCUAAUCAGAAAGCCACGGCUAACUACGUG
rnacentral:rRNA from 1 species